rnacentral:misc_RNA from 1 species
UCCGAUUUGUCACCGGCGGUCUCCCUAGAGUGCCCAACUGAAUGAUGGCAACUAGGGACAAGGGUUGCGCUCGUUGCGGGACUUAACCCAACAUCUCACGACACGAGCUGACGACAGCCAUGCAGCACCUGUGCACGGACUCCGAAGAGGGGCCGAUGUUUCCACCGGCUUUCCCGUGCAUGUCAAGCCCAGGUAAGGUUCUUCGCGUUGUUUCGAAUUAAACCACAUGCUCCACCGCUUGUGCGGGCCCCCGUCAACUCCUUUGAGUUUCAGCCUUGCGGCCGUACUCCCCAGGCGGUCUACUUCACGCGUUAGCUGCGUUACCAAGUCAAUUAAGACCCGACAACUAGUAGACAUCGUUUAGGGCGUGGACUAC